rnacentral:rRNA from 1 species
UGCAUAUCAAUAAGCGGAGGAAAAGAAACUAACAAGGAUUCCCCUAGUAACGGCGAGUGAAGAGGGAACAGCCCAAGUUUGAAAGCUGGCACCUUUGGUGUCCGCAUUGUAAACUCGAGAAGUGUUAUCCGUGCCGGACCAGGCUUUAAAUCCUUUGGAAUAAGGUACCUUAGAGGGUGAUAGUCCCUUUCAUAGUCUGGAACCACCGGGGCUUUGUGAUGCGCUCUCCAAGAGUCGAGUUGUUUGGGAAUGCAGCUCAAAAUGGGUGGUAAAUGCCAUCUAAGGCUAAAUAUAGAGGAGAGACCGAUAGCGAACAAGUACCGUGAGGGAAAGAUGAAAAGAACUUUGGAAAGAGAGUUAAACAGUACGUGAAAUUGCCGGAAGGGAAGGGUAGGAAGUCAGAUAUGUCUUGGCGGAUUCAGCUUGACCUUUUGAGGUUGGGUGUAUUUCUGUCAUGGACAGGCCAGCAUCAAUUUUGGCUGCUGGAUAUUGGUGAGGGGAAUGUGGCAUCCUUUUCGGAGGGUGUGUUAUAGCCUAUUACUUGGUACAGCGGCUGGGAUUGAGGAACGCAGUGCACCCAUAAGGGCGGGCCUUAGGGCACCUUUGCACAUAGGAUGUUGGCUUAAUGGCUUUCUGCCACCCGUCUUGAAACACGGACCA